GACGAACGCUGGCGGCGUGCUUAACACAUGCAAGUCGAACGGAAAGGCCCAGCUUGCUGGGUGCUCGAGUGGCGAACGGGUGAGUAACACGUGGGUGAUCUGCCCCUAACUUCGGGAUAAGCUUGGGAAACUGGGUCUAAUACCGGAUAGGACAAUCGUUUAGUGUCGGUUGUGGAAAGUUUUUUCGGUUAGGGAUGAGCCCGCGGCCUAUCAGCUUGUUGGUGGGGUAAUGACCUACCAAGGCGUCGACGGGUAGCCGGCCUGAGAGGGUGGACGGCCACAUUGGGACUGAGAUACGGCCCAGACUCCUACGGGAGGCAGCAGUGGGGAAUAUUGCACAAUGGGCGCAAGCCUGAUGCAGCGACGCCGCGUGGGGGAUGACGGCCUUCGGGUUGUAAACCUCUUUCGACAGGGACGAAGCUUUGGUGACGGUACCUGUAUAAGAAGCACCGGCUAACUACGUG
rnacentral:rRNA from 1 species